rnacentral:lncRNA from 1 species
AGUGAAGUUCAUGAGUGAUGAGGUAACUCUAUGCAAUCCAAGAUAUUGUUUAUAUCUAAUUCUUCUUCUAGAGAAAUUUCCUAACGUCAUGAUAAAAAUAAAGAAAAAAUUCCUUCUGUGCAAAAGGCAGAGAAACAAGAGUAGGAAUAUGAGCAUAAAUGGUAGACUACAAUAAGAAUUUGGUAAUCCAUCUAUGAGAAGCAUAGUGUUAUAUAGUGUUUAUUUUUUACUGCAAUACUGAAAUGAUUUGCCAUACUAUUUUUAUAGGCUUGAGGUGCUGAUGAUGAGUCUGACAAGUCAAAGUCUGAGAUUAAUGGUGAUGAGGACGAUGAGAGCAGUGGAGACGUUAGUUGGGAUUAAGCUAUACAACUUUUUUGUACUUAAAACUUGGAAACUAUGUUGACUUAUUAUUUUGUUUUAAUUAAUGUAGGAGGAAGACAAUGAGUAAGCGCUAUCACAUAAAACUGGAUUUUGGAUUCAAGGUGAGAGCUAACAAACAAUCUUCCUUCAUUAAUUUGUGUUUGGGCUAUUUUGUAAAAUGCUUGAAUUCAAAGUGAUUUAAUUGAAUUGGUAAAUUAGGAUUUCAUGAAGAAUUAUCCUGUAAAAAUUGGGCUUUAUGUAAAUUUUAUUGAAAGUAAUUAUAGUUAAUACGAUUUUCCUCCUUUUUCUUCUGUUGUGAAAGUUGCUAAGGUGUUAGUUUUUCUUUUUCACCAAGGGGACAAGCGUCUCUUCCCUUCCAUUAACUCGAGCAAAAAAGAGAGGAAACAUAUGCCCUGAUUUUCCCUUUUGGUAACGAAUACCGGGGAAUUCCCCUUUUUCGCCUUCUCCUGCCUCUUACUAUGCUUGAUAUACAUACUUAUUUUGAAAGAACGGGUGAAGGAAGAGGAGGUUGGGUGUUUUUUGACCCAUGAUAAAUAUUUAAUGUGUUACAGCAAGCAGCUCAUAUAUUUUUAAAUCAUUAAAGCUCAUUCCUGUUAAAAAUGUUAGAGAGAAAAACAUUAAUUUAUUCAUAUCUUCAAAACACCUCUUAUGGUACAUGUAGAUUUAAUUUUUCUAUAGAAUGACAUGUAUAAUUUUGACGAGGAUGAUAUUAUUGUUCUGCGGAUUUCCAUCUGGUUGUACAUUACCAAUACAGGUCUAGGCUUAGAGUUCGAUUAGAGACUCGGAGCUCAGUUAUCUACUAGGUCGAGAAAAUUGUUGAUCAGGUCAAUCGCUCUAAGCUUGUGGUUGACUACUUACGUGGCCCAUUUUGUUUAUAUUUCGUUGCAAGCUCCAAUUCAUACAUAGUUUUUGUUAUUGCAGGAGUUAAGAGGAAGAGGACAAACCAAACGAUCAAGGAUUUAGCAAUGCAUUUUUGAAGUGAAGUCCAGGAAACUAUAUUAGUUAAGUGAAGCCAGCAUUCUGCUAAAGCGAACAAAAAGAUUAUGACGAUUGAGGAUGAUCAAAGUCACAUUUCACUUAUUAUCCUUCGUUCCCAUCUCUUUUUGAGUAAUGAUCAUUUUUAGUAUCUUGUGGCUGCCCAACAUUUCAAACAUUCCAAAAACAUUGUAGAUGUAAAUUCUACAUUAUGCGAGGAAUUUCCCUUUUCUUUUCUUUCCUUUUCGAAAUGGAGAAUCAAGUAAGCUGUCAUUUCCAUUUGCAAUAGUGUAGGCUCUUACUGUGAUGUGCUGUUGCACAUGUUCACGUAUGUGUGCACAUAUUUACGUAUAUAUAUGUUUGUGCUAGACGUAUGAUACCAAAAAAAAAAAAUAAUGUUAUUUGUAAGCAGUGCUUACCUAUCAUAGGUAGAAGUAAGAUAAUUGUCACAUUUUCCUAUAAAUUUGGAGUGAUGAUAUUUGUAAACAGUGCA